ACUAGGCAUGGUGGUGCAUGCCUGUAAUCCCUGCAACUUAGGAGGCUGAGGCAGGAGGAUCAUAAGUUGAAGGUCAACCUGAGAAAUGUAGUGAGACCCUGUCUCAA
rnacentral:sRNA from 1 species